rnacentral:rRNA from 1 species
CACGUAGGGUGCGAGCGUUGUCCGGAAUUAUUGGGCGUAAAGAGCUCGUAGGCGGUGUGUCGCGUCGGCCGUGAAAACCUGCAGCUUAACUGUGGGCGUGCGGUCGAUACGGGCAUCACUGGAGUUCGGCAGGGGAGACUGGAAUUCAUGGUGUAGCAGUGAAAUGCGUAGAGAUCAUGAGGAAGACCAGUGGCGAAGGCGGGUCUCUGGACAGUUCCUGACACUGAGGCACGAAGGCCAGGGGAGCAAACGGG